AUGCGCCAAUGUACCCUACAUAUGAACACGAGUGACGCGAGCGAUAUCUUUUCACAGGUUUGGCCAAGGGCGCGGACAGGAGGUUGUAGAGAGAGAAAAUGAGAGAGCACUCGGCAGGGCUUUGAAUAGAGAUAGCGGCAGCAAAGGCCAGUCCUCGGACUGGUGGGCCCUCCAGUUGUGCCCGUCCCGUGAGCAGCAAGUACUCUCCUAGGGAAGAAAUAACAGAAACUAACCACUGACUAGCAACUCGAUAACAGUUUCUUUCGACAUUGAUAAUAAGCGUCGAAAUGGGGAAAAGUUUCAGUAUCUUCGAAAGUUUACCCUCUAGGCAGAAGGUCCCGCGAGCCGGACGAGUCUGCAGGCCUAGUGCUUCACGCUUCCACCAGUGGCAGGUGCUGUGGCGAGACCUGCGCAGCUCGUCCGCAACGGAAUUCACUUUGGGACUAGGAGCAGGAUGCUGCGUCUGGGCGUCACCCUGGUCGCAGUGGACUCUUAGUGUAUCGCUUCGCGCUGUCGCAGGCAGCGCAUCUGUCUGCGCAGCUUACAGGCUCCCAGGAUUAUUAUUAUGUAUUCCGACCCUAUGUUGAAUGAAUCAUUCUUCGAGCGGGCGCCCUCAGUGGUAUGGCAAAGCCGUUCUGUCUCCGUGCAGCAUCUGCUUCAGUGGUAUAAGCGCCACGGCGGGUGUUCACGGCAGGCACUUGUCGCACGAUCGAGCAUACGAAACGACCAGUAUAUCCGAGAGCAAGUAUGGGUAAUGGAACUCUAAGAUAGGCGCUUCAUCAUGGACCCUCUCCCGAAAGCUAUUAUCCAUUCCGAAUUCUGGGAGCUAUGGUCAAUCUAAACGUUCUGUCAUCUGAGAAAGUCGCAUGCGCCAACUUGGUUCAUGACUGGUGAAACAUUUUGAUCCCCAGUGGCGUCUGAUCACUGGAGCACGGUCACCUGCACGCUGGUGCUUUCCACAGACCCAGAGAGCGGAACGUUUUGGAAGGUACUGAACUUGCAAUAAAGUGGGGUUCCGAAAGCAACCUCAAACAAGAGCAGCUGGA